rnacentral:lncRNA from 1 species
GCUUUGCACUGUUUUUGUUGCUACAGGACAAAUAAGUUGAAAAAGCUUUUUGUUUUAUUUUACUCACAUGAUGAUGUCCUUCUCACCAAGUCUAUGGGGUAAACAGUUAUAUACUGUAUGAGGAGAACAACUCUCUCUUUUGUCUUCCCUUCUCAUUAAUCCCUACUUCUUCAACUCAAGCUCUCAAGUGGAUCAUUAUAAACAGACAAUGGCCAGAUAUGUGCGUGUGGAUAUAAACUAAUGAAUUUAUGAAGGGGAAAAUCAUGCCUGACAAAACUGACAGCUGUAUAUGGUAGGUGAGUAAGGGGACUACUAGAUAUCAUUUGGAUUUUAAUGAAUGUUGUUGACUUUAGCAAGG